UUAUGGGGCAGAGCCUCACUUAUGGGGCAGAGCCUCACUUAUGGGUCACUGUCACACUUAUGGGUCACAGCCCCACUUGUGGGUCACAUCCCAGUUAUGGGGCAGGACCCCACUUAUGGGGCAGAGCUCCACUUAUGGGGCAGAGCCUCACUUAUGGGUCACAGCCCCACUUAUGGGUCACAGCCCCACUUGUGGGUCAGAUCCCACUUAUGGGGCAGAGCCCCACUUAUGGGUCUGUGUGGGUUAAUGCCCUACUUAUGGGGCAGAGCCCCACUUAUGGGUCUGUGUGGGUCACAGCCCUACUUAUGGGGCAGAGCCCCACUUAUGGGUCAGUCUGUGUGGGUUAAUGCCCUACUUAUGGGUCAGAUCCCACUUGUGGGUCAGAUCCCACUUAUGGGUCAGGGCCCCACUUAUGGGUCACAGCCCCACUUAUGGGGCAGAGCUCCACUUGUGGGUCACACCUCCAUUUAUGGGUCACAGCCCCUGUGACCUAUGGGGCAAAGGCUGACCUAUGGGGCAGAGACGCAGCUAUGGGGCAGAGAUCCUCAUCUAUGGGGCGGAGACCCAUCUAUGGGGCAGAGACCCUCAUCUAUGGGGCAGAGAUCCUCAUCUAUGGGGUGGAGGCUCUGACCUGC
rnacentral:lncRNA from 1 species